rnacentral:rRNA from 1 species
UACGUAGGGCGCAAGCGUUAUCCGGAAUUAUUGGGCGUAAAGAGCUCGUAGGCGGUUUGUCGCGUCUGCUGUGAAAACGCGAGGCUCAACCUCGCGCCUGCAGUGGGUACGGGCAGACUAGAGUGCGGUAGGGGAGAUUGGAAUUCCUGGUGUAGCGGUGGAAUGCGCAGAUAUCAGGAGGAACACCAAUGGCGAAGGCAGAUCUCUGGGCCGUAACUGACGCUGAGGAGCGAAAGCAUGGGGAGCGAACAGG